rnacentral:rRNA from 1 species
AACGAACGCUGGCGGCAUGCCUAACACAUGCCAGUCGAACGAGACCUUCGGGUCUAGUGGCGCACGGGUGCGUAACGCGUGGGAACCUGCCCUUAGGUUCGGAAUAACUCCCCGAAAGGGGUGCUAAUACCGGAUAAUGUCUUCGGACCAAAGAUUUAUCGCCUUUGGAUGGGCCCGCGUUGGAUUAGCUAGUUGGUAGGGUAAAAGCCUACCAGGGCGACGAUCCAUAGCUGGUCUGAGAGGAUGAUCAGCCACACUGGGACUGAGACACGGCCCAGACUCCUACGGGAGGCAGCAGUGGGGAAUAUUGGACAAUGGGCGAAAGCCUGAUCCAGCAAUGCCGCGUGAGUGAUGAAGGCCUUAGGGUUGUAAAGCUCUUUUACCCGGGAUGAUAAUGACAGUACCGGGAGAAUAAGCUCCGGCUAACUCCGUG